GACGAAGGGGGCUAGCGUUGUUCGGAAUUACUGGGCGUAAAGCGCGUGUAGGCGGUUGUCCAAGUUGGAUGUGAAAGCCUUGAGCUUAACUCAAGAAAUGCAUUCAGGACUGGAUGGCUAGAGGACCGGAGAGGAUAGUGGAAUUCCCAGUGUAGUGGUGAAAUACGUAGAGAUUGGGAAGAACACCAGUGGCGAAGGCGGCUAUCUGGACGGUUUCUGACGCUAAGACGCGAAAGCGUGGGGAGCGAACGGG
rnacentral:rRNA from 1 species